rnacentral:rRNA from 1 species
AUACCCGCGCCCCUAGUGGUGGUCGAUAUUAUUGAGCCUAAAACGUCCGUAGCCGGUCUUCUAAAUCCUUGGGUAAAUCGGGCAGCUUAACUGUCCGAAGUCCGGGGAGACUGGGAGACUUGGGACCGGGAGAGGUCAGAGGUACUUCUGGGGUAGGGGUAAAAUCCUGUAAUCCUGGGAGGACCACCUGUGGCGAAGGCGCCUAACUGGAACGGACCUGACGGUGAGUAACGAAAGCCAGGGGCGC